rnacentral:lncRNA from 10 species
CUCAGUUGGAAAUGUGGAAAUUACCCAUCUUCUCUGUCAAUCAUGCUGGGAGCGGCAGACUGGAGCUGUUCCUACUCAGCCUUCUUGGAACAGAGCCCCCCUCACAAAGGACUUUCUCUGGCUAACUCUGAUGCUUUUCUGAGUUCUUACCUAAAUUUCCCCUUCUCCUUCUGUGGCCCUGCCAGUUUUGUUUUGUUUUGUUUUGUUUUGUCCUUAUCACUACCCUUGCUGCCUCCUCAAAUUAUCCAGAGCCACUGUUGUUUUCUAGAACAUUGGCAAGCACGUUGAUAGAGUGCCCACAUUGUACUGAACUCUGAGGGGAAUAGUCUCGUCCCCAUCACUCAGGUGGGGAAACUGAGGUGAGGUUAGUUUAAAGUGGGUAAGCAGUGGGUUUGGAAUUGGAGCUCUGGCUGGCUGGCUCAUGUCCGUGCUCUUCCCACCACAGCAGGAGGCCACUGGAGGCUCCAAGGGCUCUGAAAUGUUGAGAACUUCCCUGCAGGUACCAGCGAAGAGGGCAAGAACACAGCACUACUUCCUUGGAUACUGUUUCCCUCCUCAGAGGGGUUUUCUGAGCUGCCCUGGGUCCUGUGAGGAAGAUCUCCCCUUCCUGUAAAGACACCAGUCCUACUGGAUCAGGGCCCACCCGUGUGACUUCACUUUUACUUGAGUACCUCUCACAGACCCUAACUCCAAAUCAGGUCACUUGCUGAGGUACUGCAUGUGAAGACUUUGACAUUUGAAUUUUGAGGGGGCCACCGUUUAACCUGAACCACCAAGGACAGAGCCAAAGACCCUGGGUGACAGGCCCAGAACAGGACCUGGUGGAGGCUCUUCUUUAGGGGAGAGAGGGAAAUGGGAGCCACCACUGGCAGAGCCUGAAGGCAGGGCAGCCAGAAAGAAGCUGUGGGAGUCCCCACCAUGGAAGACCCUGCCGAGCAUCCUGUGUCUCCUGAAGCAGACCCUGACAUGAGGACUGGGGGCACGUGUUUAUUAAGGGCGAUCCCCGGAAGGAGGAGAUAACCAGGCAGAAGUCCUAGCAGAGUAUGCCCACGCUGGUUAGUGCUGCUGCAAAGAUGAGCCGAAGACCAUGAGAGACCUCCAGGUGGUCCUUCUGGGGAGAAGAAAUGGGUUUUGGCCCCAAAUCCUUCUGCUGCAUUUUUCCCCUAUCCCUGGGAAGCCAUGAGACCUCAAACCUGUGUUCCCAAGGAGGCGAGCUGCUGUUCCCAGGUGAUGAUAUGAUGUGCUUGGGGAAAGUAAGUGGCUGCCAGACAUGGCUGAGAGCUGUUGUCACUGCCGUCAAGUGCAUGUCUCCAAGCCAUAUCACACGGCGUCCCUCGAUGUGAGGCCACAUGGCAAGUGGGCCGUGGAUCUCCCUCUGCCCUUUGCAAGCACGUAAGACAGCAGAUUUUGCAGAUACCUUGUGGCGCAGGGGAAUUUCCUUUGGCCAGGUCUGAAGAAAUAAAGCAGCAGGCACCGAGAACAAAGCCAAGGCUUUCAAAAGACAAGGAGCCAAAAAACUUACUCAAAAUAAAAGUAGUUUUAAAAUGUCUCUGCCAUUGGUAGUCUCAUUUUCUUUUUAAUGUAGGAAAUAGUCAAGUAUUAAAAUGACCAAAAUGAAACAAGUGCCUCAUGGACUGAGAAGGAAGGAGGA